rnacentral:SRP_RNA from 1 species
CUGUGCUAGAUGGGGAGUUGGCGGUGCCCUGUAAACUGCAAUCCGCCAUAGCAGUAUCGAACACCGAUCGAGGCCUUCCAUAUGGUUGGUCGCACCAAACAAGGAAUGUUGAUAGCAAGGUCCGAUGCAACACCGUGUCGUGAACCGUGUCAGGGCCUGACCGCAGCAGCACUAAGCGAAUUUCGGCGUGUGCCAUCGGGAAGCUUUGAAGGAGUCACCUAUUUGGUUUCCACUUCGGUGUGGAUUGUCGGAAUCGGCGCACAG